rnacentral:rRNA from 1 species
GACGAACCGAGCGAACGUUGUUCGGAAUCACUGGGCUUAAAGGGCGCGUAGGCGGGCUGUCAAGUCUGGGGUGAAAUCCCGCGGCUCAACCGUGGAACUGCCUCAGAUACUGACGGCCUCGAGGGAGGUAGGGGCGAGCGGAACUGUGAGUGGAGCGGUGAAAUGCGUUGAGAUCGUGAGGAACGCCCGUGGCGAAAGCGGGCUCCUGGACCCCACCUGACGCUCAGACGCGAAAGCCAGGGGAGCGAACGGG